rnacentral:rRNA from 1 species
UUUAACUGAGCGUUCAGUUACUUGACGUAGACCCGAAACCGGGCGACCUACCCAUGAGCAGGAUGAAGCGAAAGUAAAAUUUCGUGGAGGUCCGAACCCACGAGCGUUGAAAAGCUCGGGGAUGACUUGUGGGUAGCGGUGAAAUUCCAAUCGAGCCCGGAGAUAGCUGGUUCUCCCCGAAAUAGCUUUAGGGCUAGCCUCAAGGUGAGAGAUACGGAGGUAGAGCACUGAAUGUCCUAGGGGGUAUUGCACCUACCGAAGACUAUCAAACUCCGAAUGCCGUCAUCUUAUACUUGGGAGUCAGACUGUGGGUGAUAAGAUUCAUAGUCGAAAGGGCAACAGCCCAGAUCGUCAGCUAAGGUCCCUAAAUGUAAGUUAAGUGGUAAAGGAUGUGGGAUUGCACAGACAACCAGGAUGUUGGCUUAGAAGCAGCCACUCAUUCAAAGAGUGCGUAAUAGCUCACUGGUCGAGUGAUCCUGCGCCGAAGAUUUCCGGGGCUAAAACUUACUACCGAAGCUACGGCAUCAGUAAUGAUGGGUAGGGGAGCUUCCCAUACGGGUUGAAGCAUGACCGUAAGGACAUGUGGACAGUAUGGGAGUGAGAAUGUUGGCAUGAGUAGCGAGAUGUGGGUGAGAAUCCCACAGGCCGUAAACCCAAGGUUUCCAGGGGAAGGUUCGUCCGCCCUGGGUUAGUCGGGACCUAAGCUGAGGCCGAAAGGCGUAGGUGAUGGACAACAGGUUGAUAUUCCUGUACUACCGAUAACCGUUUGAGAGAAGGGAUGACACAGUAGGAUAAGCUAAGCA